GAUGAACGCUGGCGGCGUGCCUAAUACAUGCAAGUCGAGCGAACGGACGAGAAGCUUGCUUCUCUGAUGUUAGCGGCGGACGGGUGAGUAACACGUGGAUAACCUACCUAUAAGACUGGGAUAACUUCGGGAAACCGGAGCUAAUACCGGAUAAUAUUUUGAACCGCAUGAUUCAAAAGUGAAAUACGGUCUUGCUGUCACUUAUAGAUGGAUCCGCGCUGCAUUAGCUAGUUGGUAAGGUAACGGCUUACCAAGGCAACUAUGCAUAGCCGACCUGAGAGGGUGAUCGGCCGCACUGGAACUGAGACACGGUCCAGACGCCUACGGGAGGCAGCAGUAGGGAAUCUUCCGCAAUGGGCGAAAGCCUGGCGGAGCAGCGCCGCGUGAGUGAUGAAGGUCUUCGGAUCGUAAAACUCUGUUAUUAGGGAAGAACAUAUGUGUAAGUAACUGUGCACAUCUUGACGGUACCUAAUCAGAAAGCCACGGCUAACUACGUG
rnacentral:rRNA from 1 species